GGGCGCUUUUCCUUUUUAAAAUUCCUCAGAUGACUCUGAUCUUGCCACUGUGUUCUGCUCUGUCUUAUCCCAUUACUUCCUAAGCAUGUCUCCCCUUCCUCCAGCCCGCGUUCCUCUCGUCAAGGUUGCGGUGGCUGCAUGGUCCCUCACACCAUGCGAAGGACUGCAGUCCCAUAGCGGGACUUGGACUGCUAAUCAUAGUAACAGGGUCACAAUGGCAGCUAACAUUUGUCGAGGGCCAGACCUUGAUCUUCAUUACACAUGAUGUUCAUUACAUUUAAAUUAGAAUAUAACAAAAAGCCGAAGUCACUUUGCCUCCACUUCACCCACGCUGUGGCCCAAAGGGCAGCUGGGUAAUGAGAGGGUAAUGACAGUGAAAUGACAGAGAAACAGAGAGAAAUUCCAAACCAUCUAUUACUGUCUGCUAAGAAAGAUGGUGUUUAACCCACUGCAUCUUUCCCUGCUUUAUCAUUCCACCAGUUUUUAAUAAGUGUACUUUUUUAGGUAAUUUCUUAUUUACCUUUGUAACUUUACAUUUUAUGCUUCACUUCUAAUUUUCUUUUUAUUCUGGCAGCUUUUGAUUCCCAUGACGAUAUAAAGUAGGUGAGCCUAGCAUCUUGGCUUCCCCUACCUCUCAUUUCCAGUCUUGGUUAUGCAAUUGCUUGCACCCUGUCAAGAUUGAUAACAUCUACAGUCUGCUCUGUUACCAUAUGAUAGAAACAACCCGGGCACUACAGUUCAAGAGCAAAGAGUUAAAGUGAAUAAGGGAGAAUGUCAGGUAGAGAAACACCUCCCGAAGGCACUGGUGUGGACACUGUGGUAUGCAGUAUGCAAAGGAAUCAGCAGUUCUGCCUUCAUAGUGACUACAGUAUCUACAGAGGGAGACAGACAAGGAAGGCUUCCAGCCGCCAGAGAUGGGCG